UAGCUUAGUGCUGCUGAUGACGUCUGUC
rnacentral:piRNA from 1 species